rnacentral:rRNA from 1 species
GUGGGCUCUCAAGCGUGAGGUAAGGGCAAUUCGUGGAUGCCUUGGCGCAUGCAGGCGAUGAAGGACGUGGA